rnacentral:rRNA from 1 species
GACGAACGCUGGCGGCGUGCUUAACACAUGCAAGUCGAACGGAAAGGCCCUGCUUUUGUGGGGUGCUCGAGUGGCGAACGGGUGAGUAACACGUGAGUAACCUGCCCUUGACUUUGGGAUAACUUCAGGAAACUGGGGCUAAUACCGGAUAGGAGCUCCUGCUGCAUGGUGGGGGUUGGAAAGUUUCGGCGGUUGGGGAUGGACUCGCGGCUUAUCAGCUUGUUGGUGGGGUAGUGGCUUACCAAGGCUUUGACGGGUAGCCGGCCUGAGAGGGUGACCGGCCACAUUGGGACUGAGAUACGGCCCAGACUCCUACGGGAGGCAGCAGUAGGGAAUAUUGCACAAUGGGCGGAAGCCUGAUGCAGCAACGCCGCGUGCGGGAUGACGGCCUUCGGGUUGUAAACCGCUUUCGCCUGUGACGAAGCGUGAGUGACGGUAAUGGGUAAAGAAGCACCGGCUAACUACGUG